rfam:Anncaliia algerae PRA109 cont4.6787, whole genome shotgun sequence.
GGUCGCUUAGUCUAGUGGCUAUGAUUCCUGGUUUGGGUCCAGGAGGUCCAGGGUUCGAAUCCCUGAGCGACCC